AGUGAACGCUGGCGGUAGGCCUAACACAUGCAAGUCGAACGGCAGCACAGUAAGAGCUUGCUCUUACGGGUGGCGAGUGGCGGACGGGUGAGGAAUACAUCGGAAUCUACUUUUUCGUGGGGGAUAACGUAGGGAAACUUACGCUAAUACCGCAUACGACCUACGGGUGAAAGCAGUGGAUCUUCGGACCUUGCGCGAUUGAAUGAGCCGAUGUCGGAUUAGCUAGUUGGCGGGGUAAAGGCCCACCAAGGCGACGAUCCGUAGCUGGUCUGAGAGGAUGAGCAGCCACACUGGAACUGAGACACGGUCCAGACUCCUACGGGAGGCAGCAGUGGGGAAUAUUGGACAAUGGGCGCAAGCCUGAUCCAGCCAUACCGCGUGGGUGAAGAAGGCCUUCGGGUUGUAAAGCCCUUUUGUUGGGAAAGAAAAGCAGCAGGUUAAUACCCCGCUGUUCUGACGGUACCCAAAGAAUAAGCACCGGCUAACUUCGUG
rnacentral:rRNA from 1 species